rnacentral:rRNA from 1 species
AUUGAACGCUGGCGGCAGGCCUAACACAUGCAAGUCGAACGGUAACAGGAAGCAGCUUGCUGCUUUGCUGACGAGUGGCGGACGGGUGAGUAAUGUCCGGGAAACUGCCCGAUGGAGGGGGAUAACUACUGGAAACGGUAGCUAAUACCGCAUAACGUCGCAAGACCAAAGAGGGGGACCUUAUGGCCUCUUGCCAUCGGAUGUGCCCAGAUGGGAUUAGCUAGUAGGUGGGGUAACGGCGCACCUAGGCGACGAGCCCUAGCUGGUCUGAGAGGAUGACCAGCCACACUGGAACUGAGACACGGUCCAGACUCCUACGGGAGGCAGCAGUGGGGAAUAUUGCACAAUGGGCGCAAGCCUGAUGCAGCCAUGCCGCGUGUAUGAAGAAGGCCUUCGGGUUGUAAAGUACUUUCGGCGGGGAGGAAGGGAGUAAAGUUAAUACCUCUGCUCAUUGACGUUACCCGCAGAAGAAGCACCGGCUAACUCCGUG